rnacentral:rRNA from 1 species
UACGUAGGGUGCGAGCGUUGUCCGGAAUUAUUGGGCGUAAAGAGCUCGUAGGCGGUUUGUCGCGUCGGCCGUGAAAACUUGGGGCUUAACUCCAAGCUUGCGGUCGAUACGGGCAGACUUGAGUUCGGCAGGGGAGACUGGAAUUCCUGGUGUAGCGGUGAAAUGCGCAGAGAUCGGGAGGAACACCAGUGGCGAAGGCGGCCGGCUGGGCCGACCCUGACGCUGAGGCGCGAAGGCGUGGGGAGCGAACGGG